UACACUGUUAUAAACUCGCACUAAUUAAGUUUUCUAAUUUCGUGGUUAUCAAGUGCAUAUCAAGGUCUCUAACACCAGGGAAACAAAGCUUCCGGAGAGGUUUACAGCGACAGCUCUCUAGAGGAGGCCUAUGUUCAGCAGUGGACGGAUUUUGGCUAAGAUUAUGAUGAUGAUCAUAGAACAAAAGGAUCGAGUUUGAGCAUAAUCUGGAAGGCAUUGUCAGUCGGGAUUCACGUGGCCGCUGCGCCGGCGCCGCGUCGGUCGCCGUCCAGUCAGCUUUUCUCGCGGACCGCUUGCUACCUGUCUUUGGUUCGGCGCUUCACGCUUACAAAUGCGGACAAAAUAGCAGCGAUUUACGGGAAGAGAAUCAUCGAUAGCCUGGUUAUAACGAAAGAUGACCGUUGUACACCAAAUCGUCGGCUCCUGGGUCGCGUCAGUCGCCAAAUAUCUAGCAGUGAUGCUAUCGCGAGUGUUACCGUCGUCACUACGUCAACAGGAACUAAAGGAAAGCUUACAAUCAGCUUUCCUUCAAGUCCAACAUGACUCCACGUCGAUCCCAUUUCUAAAACUAUUGGGUAGUUUCAGAAAUGAUACAGCUACCUCUUCUACAGGUUUUCAUUUCACGAUGAUUACACACGUACUGAUUAUAAUUUUUGUCGUUUUAGAUCAUUUAGUCGUCUGAUUUAGUUAUUUCAAGGUCAAGUCGUUUGGCAAUAGCUAUCUUAGAUUAGAGGACAAUGACUACCUAAAUCAACAUA